rnacentral:snoRNA from 1 species
UGAAGAGCCUUUUACCUGAGAAGUAAUUGAUGAACUCUCAAGAAAAUUCCUCUAGCUAGUCAAGUUCUGAUCCAG